GGACCCUGGGAUUGGAGGAGGGGGCUGAGCAGCCUCCAUUUUGGAUCCAGACCCUCAGGGCUGAGGUAGCAGUCUGCUGCUGGCAGCUGGAAAGACCACCUGACUGAGCUGCUGCUUGGAACAUCUUGGAGCUGACUGGCUAGUCAGGACAGAUGGUACCUUCCUGAUGAAGCAGCCGAGAGAGAAAGAUUCAUGGGAUCAGAAGGAGAAUAAGAAAGGACUUCCUAGACUAGAGAGGAGGCUGAUACUUGCCAGGGGACAGAAACCCCAAACUAGAAUUGAAAACAGAGAAGAAUUGUAUCCUGUCUUUCAUCAGAUCCUGGGAAAGAGAAUCCUGGAGAUUCAAGGAAUCCUAGAAAUCUGAGAAGAUUCGGAAAGAAGAACAGGAAGUCCCAAAGGAAUGAUUCUCAGGAAAAACUGAAGAGUCUGUUUCUUAAGUAUAGCUGAGAGGUACACUCUACUGACAUAACUUCUUCAGAACAUUAGCAUGAUAAUAAAGAGAUUGAUUUUAAAUUGCUAUAUCAUCCAAUGGACAAAGAUAGAAAUAUAUAGAUUUUUUUUUUUAACCAUUUCAUUUAUUUGUCACUAAAUGGAGACCUGUAAAAAAAGAAACAAGUUAGCUGAUCCAGCAGACAAAGGGCUCUUGUGCAUUUUUACAAUGGAACUUUCAUAUGGGUUUUGCUAGCAAUAAUUACAAUAGGAACAUCCAUUAUAUGUACUCUGUUGUCAGGGAGUGAGGGGAAGGGGACUGAAUGCAUAUUUUUGUGUUUGAAGAAAUCAGUUCUAGGCACAGAGGAAAGCAUUCUCCAAUCCCUGGGUGGAAUUUUAUUCACUAAGUUUUCCAAGUUGUGGUGCCAAAUAAUGGGGUGGAAUGGCUGACUCAUCUGUGGGAUUUAUGCUGCCAUUACCAGUGACCACUGAAACACUGUAGGAUAAUUAGAGGGAUAAGCAAAUAAAGCAAAAAGUUAGUCACAUAGGACAGCUUCAUUUACAAUGAACUGGUUUUAUCCUUCAUGCCCUCCAUGCGGUGCAGGAAACUCCCAUUAAAUUUAUUUGGAAUUCUGCACAUGUAGACCUGCAAAGCCAAACUCGGUGUCUAAUAUUAUGGUAAUAGGGAAUCUCCAAAUAAAUCCAUUUAUUUCCAUAAGCUCAACUUCAGUGACUAAUGCAGUAGAAAAAAUCCUGGACAAACCUCCUCAAGCUAUUUGAGUCCAGUGUAUCCUACCCUUUGAUUCACCCUACUGUGAAAAAUCCCCACAUGGCAUAAAGCUAGCAUAGUAACAUCUGACUAACUCAUCUCAUUGUAUAUAUGUGUAUAUCAUCUAUAGCCAUGUACUGUUGGUACAUUUAUUCUAACUUCAAAUCAGUUAUUUGCCUCAUACAGAUUCAGAGACUAAAGAAGCAUGCACUCUUAGAAGCAAUAACAACCAACACACAGGCUGCACAUUGUAUAUCAUUCCCCCCUUAACACUAUAGAGACUAACCCAAAUGCUUAGUAAAAAUAGGAGUAAAGCUUUUUUCACAGGAAAUUGCAUUAUUUUCUUUUUUCACACGAUAGAUUCUAAACAACUCAUAUAUUAAAGGUGCUUUAUAUUUUUUUUUAAUAAUUAUAAACUAAAUAUUGUUAUGUGUAGUAAGAGCAGGGACAGGUAUAUAUAAACCAAAAGAAAAAGACCUCCCUCCCAACCCCCGCCUCCAAAAACAAAAAACAAAGAACCCCCCUAAAACAUAGACUCCAACCUCACUUUCCCCCCUCAAAGUUUAUAUAGUGAGCUUAAAAAUCUUAGUCUUCAUCUCCAUAUCUACAGUUCCUCCCUCCCAGUUCCCAUUUAGUAGAUUGGGUACAUGAUGCUACAAAAGUGUUGAUUGCAGCAUAUAGCUUGAUAAUACUUUAUGUAAUCCAUCAAGUUCAUUAAGGAGUCUUUGUAAAGCAGAUCAUUCCAAGUAUUUCUAGUGGUUUAUCUUCAGUGUUGUCUUUGCUCCAAAACCAAUU